AUGGCCUGCGGCGGCGGCGGCGAGUCUGAGGCGGAGCGGCGGGCAGAGCUGCUGCGCGAGAUAACGGAGGAGGGCGGCUUCGCUUUCGUCGCCUCGGCGGAGAAGGCGGCGGCGGGGGACCUGCGGGCGGCGGAGGCGGCGCGGGAGAUGGCGUGGGAGCAACUCCACUCGGGGCCCUGGAGCGAGGUCGGCAGCGCGUGGAGGGACGCCUACGCGCUCGCCUGCCUCCACGUCGCGCGCCUCCGCCGGGCCGCCGCCGACCGCCGCGCCGCGCUCCGGGCGCUCGACAUGGGGCUCAUCAUGGGGGGAAACCUCCUCCGCGCCGAUCUCGAGGCCGCCCUGGCCUCCAUCGCCGCGGAGCCGAGCGACGGCGAAGGUGACGGCGCGGAGGCUGUCGAUGAGGAAGCCAAUAGGUGGAGGGAAGGGCUCGACAGGAACCGUGACAUCGCCGAUGCCCUCAAAAUUCUUCCAACAAAGUCUUUAUCUUGUAAGGAAAUCGCAAGACGAUCGUGUAUAUCUUUGGAGGAGUUUAUAUGUGAUCACUUUUUACCUGAGACCCCUGUUAUAAUCAGUGGCUGCAUCGAUCAUUGGCCUGCGAUGACAAAAUGGAAGGACAUCCAGUACCUAAAGAAGAUUGCUGGGGAUCGGACUGUUCCUGUUGAGGUUGGGAAGAGCUAUGUUUGCAGUGAGUGGAAGCAGGAGCUUAUCACGUUCUCCCAGUUCCUUGAGAGGAUGUGGUCAACCGCCUGUCCUUCAAAUUUGACAUAUCUAGCUCAGCAUCCAUUAUUUGAGCAGAUAAAAGAGCUUCAUGAAGACAUAAUGGUUCCUGACUACUGUUAUGCUGGUGGAGGGGAACUCCAAUCACUUAAUGCUUGGUUUGGUCCACACGGGACAGUGACACCAUUGCACCACGACCCGCAUCACAACAUUUUAGCUCAGGUCUUGGGCAGGAAGUAUAUUAGACUCUAUCCUGGUUCUGUAUCCGAAGACUUAUACCCACACACAGAAACUAUGUUAAGCAAUACUAGUCAGGUGGAUCUUGACAACAUAGAUAUGGAUGAGUUCCCAAAGGUAGAAAACCUUGAUUUCAUGGACUGCAUAUUGGAGGAAGGUGACAUGCUGUAUAUUCCUCCGAAAUGGUGGCAUUACGUCAGAUCUCUUUCGAUUAGUUUCUCCGUUAGCUUUUGGUGGCGUACAACAGUUAUAAGUCCGAGCGUGUAA
rnacentral:rRNA from 1 species